rnacentral:snoRNA from 1 species
AAGGUUAUACUCUGAGGAAUCAUUUGUGUAGAUGUUGCUUGAGAAACUUCUCUGACUGUUUAGAUCACCGAGAACCACAAGGAGGAGCUGUAGUGUUUAUUUCUGAGCAUAAAGCUGACUUACUGUCCCUUGUGUGCAGCUGUCAAUGCUAUUAAUGAUUGUUCUUACUGUCUUUUUUUUUGUCUUUUUCCUUUUUAUCGGUACCGGGGAUCGAACUCACGACUGCCUGCU